UCCCUUGGGGUGGGAAGGGAUGACCUUCGAAAAGGCAUCGGAGUUUGGGGUCUCAAACAAGCAUCAAACUAAGAGUGAAGACAAGCGGCAAGGGGAAAGGGGAAGGGAGGAGGGGAGAAAGAAGGAAAAGUUAGCACUGGACUCGGGAGAGUGCCUGGUUUGUUUUCUUGGCAGGGACCGGGAACUCUCUGGCAGCCAGGUUUCUUGAGCGCGGCCGGCGGCUCCGCGGCUCCCAUUGGUCCGCGCGCGGCUGUUGCUACGCGGAUGGACCAAUGGCGCGCGAGGGGGUUCUGGCUCCGCCUUUCCCGGGUCGGGCCACGGGAGCCCGGGGGAGGAGGCUGGAGCGCAGGCCUCUGCCCCGGGGUCUUUUUUUUUUUUUUUUUUAAAGAAGGAGGAGGCGGGGAGGGCGAGCCUGGGCGGGGCGGACGCCUCCCUGCGCCGCGCCCCGGGAGGCUGGUUCACCUGUCCGACUCGUUCCUCCUCUCCCGGCUGCCUGGCCCUCCUGCCUUUGCACAGCCUGCGGGGAGAGGGCUGGACGCACCGACUGUUUUAUUGUAUUUAUUUAUUUAUUUUUCCUUCCUGGAGCCUGAGUGUUGUUUAUGUUUUAAUAACUUUAUCAACUCGGUGAACUUUGGCUAGAGCACCGGCAGCUUCUCUCUCCUCCCUCCUAAAGCCCUUGUCUCUAACUGGCCUCUGGGUCGCUUCCAAAAGGUGCUUCCUUCCAACUCUCCUUGUUAAGGCUUGUACCGUUGGCAUGGUCAAUAUGGCAGGCAGAAUGAACCCGGCUUACUGCAGCCCCUUUUUACAGAUGAGAAGAACAAGGCCCAGGAAACCCUUGGAGCUGACUCCCAGUGUGUGGCAUGGAUGCAGAACAGAAGAAAGUCCUCUUUCACAGCCAUAGAAUGAGUGUUUCAUGUGGCCGGCUCACAGAAGGCCGGGUUUGGACAAUAUUUCAGAGCGACAUUUCUUUUUCCAAUUCUUAUCCAGUGUUUGGUCUACAGAGAUCCUGUACCUUUGGAAAGUUCAUUUUAUGCCACUUCACUUCUACGAUGACCUCCACCAGGACCCGUUUUCACUAACUGGAAGAAAUCUGAAGAGGAUUUUCGCUGUUAGGAAGAAAGGUAAUUGCUUCUUCACUUUAUGUCAUUUCGGCUUACGACGUUUUUCACAGGAACGCUCUCCUUUCAGAUGGUGGGGGAGCGUGGGUAGCACCCUGACAUACCCAGCCUCAACCAGUCUUUCCUCUGAUAGGGAAUUCACUGCCUUUUUGAUGAAGCCAGGUUGACUUUCAGAUCUUUGAUAAUUCAGAAAAAACUUUCAGCCUCAAGACUUCCAGUUGGCCAAACAAACAAACAAAAUCACCUUUUUAGCAAAAAUAUUCAUUAAAUGUUUAAACCAAGUUGGUGGGCAGAAACAGAAGCAGAAGUGCUAACAGCGAGCUCCUUGCUUGGAGAUGAUACCAGCCCCGCAAAUAAAGGAAGAACCCAGAAUACUUUCGUAGAGAUCAUACACUAGGUGUCUAAGAGCCCUUGAGGGGGUCCACGCCCAUCA